UGAGCGGUAGAGAGAAGCUUGCUUCUCUUGAGAGCGGCGGACGGGUGAGUAAUGCCUAGGAAUCUGCCUGGUAGUGGGGGAUAACGUUCGGAAACGGACGCUAAUACCGCAUACGUCCUACGGGAGAAAGCAGGGGACCUUCGGGCCUUGCGCUAUCAGAUGAGCCUAGGUCGGAUUAGCUAGUUGGUGGGGUAAUGGCUCACCAAGGCGACGAUCCGUAACUGGUCUGAGAGGAUGAUCAGUCACACUGGAACUGAGACACGGUCCAGACUCCUACGGGAGGCAGCAGUGGGGAAUAUUGGACAAUGGGCGAAAGCCUGAUCCAGCCAUGCCCGUGUGUGAAGAAGGUCUUCGGAUUGUAAAGCACUUUAAGUUGGGAGGAAGGGCAGUUGCCUAAUACGUAACUGUUUUGACGUUACCGACAGAUAAGCACCGGCUAACUCUGUGCCAGCAGCCGCGGUAAUACAGAGGGUGCAAGCGUUAAUCGGAAUUACUGGGCGUAAAGCGCGCGUAGGUGGUUUGUUAAGUUGGAUGUGAAAUCCCCGGGCUCAACCUGGGAACUGCAUUCAAACUGACUGACUAGAGUAUGGUAGAGGGUGGUGGAAUUUCCUGUGUAGCGGUGAAAUGCGUAGAUAUAGGAAGGAACACCAGUGGCGAAGGCGACCACCUGGACUGAUACUGACACUGAGGUGCGAAAGCGUGGGGAGCAAACAGGAUUAGAUACCCUGGUAGUCCACGCCGUAAACGAUGUCAACUAGCCGUUGGGAGCCUUGAGCUCUUAGUGGCGCAGCUAACGCAUUAAGUUGACCGCCUGGGGAGUACGGCCGCAAGGUUAAAACUCAAAUGAAUUGACGGGGGCCCGCAC
rnacentral:rRNA from 1 species